CGCCUGUAUGACCCAGCUGUGUAACAGUACUCAUCUGACGUGCGUUUCAUUGCAGAUUUAUUACGUGUAGAGGUGUCUUAUUUUGAAGAGUAGAAAAUUUGGCUGUACUCGAUCGUUAAAAUCUAAGCUAAGGUUAGAAAUUAUUACAAACUAUGGAUUUGUGGAUUUUUGUCUGUGGUUUUCUUAAGCAUUUUUAACUCCAUGAAAAUGAUUUACAUUGCAAACUGUGUACGAGACUUCCACAACGAAUUGCUAAUCAGUAAACGACAAGUUUCAGACUGAGAGGGUCAAUAUCUGCGACAAAAUAUGGUCUUAAUACCCAGGCGGAUCUGAAUCUAAGAACGCGCACUUUCUACUGCUCACGGUCCUUCGCCUCCUGUCAUGGUUGCAAUUUUUUAACUACGUGGAAAGCCCAUGACAGGGGGUUAACGGCAAUUUCUCAGCAUCAAUUUUUCACAUAAUUCACAGAACCAAAUUCGUAACUCACUCUCACAUCAGUGUAGUUCACAUAGUUGACAUGCUGUAUUUGUUCGCUCUAUUAAGUGAAUCUCCAGGUGUUCAUUUUCUCCCUUUCUUCUUACGUGCUGUGACAGUGAUACAAAUGAAAAUGUAUCUAUCUCUAAAAAUGAACUAUUCAAUUAUGGUGUGAGUGUUUAUCUAAAGUAAGUGGUGGUCCAAUAUAUAAUUAAGCAGUGAUGACUAAAUACUGCGUGAACAUUUCUCCUGGGACUAUGAUUUUCAUUGAGAACACGUCAAUUCUUGCUAAUAAUCAGCUAUUUUGUCUUCUCUUUGAAUGGCGUAACUACAGAAAAAAAUCUUCAUCGUCUAAUGGAGCUUUGAGUUCACCCAUGCAUCAAGCUGCUUCCAUUGUCUCUUGGAUUAAUGUAAAUAUUCCUGUGAUUUGGAUGGGCAGAGGGUGAGGUGGCAGGGGUUAAAAAUUAACAAAAAAAAAGUCAGCAUAUUUUACAGGCGAUUCCUUACCCCCAAAACAGCACGAAGGUAUUAUCAAUCUCUUGAAUGAGAUUGGAAGCAGCCUCAAAAAAGAGUUAGAUUUGUUAUUCAGUUUGAUCCAUUAAGAUGAACAAAUUGAACCAGAGGAAAAACGGGAUGAGCAGCUAAGUGACAAUAGUAAAAUUUCCAAGUGCCUUCAAUUAUGUAGAAUGCAAUUUAAGUAACUUCAAAGUAACCUUGUUUAGGUAUCCGCAGAUUUGAAGGCGUUUUGAAGUUGUGCUCCAAAGUAUGAGAUUGUGUAAAUUAUGUUGUCGAACAUUAGAUUCAUGGCCAGCUUUAUGCGUUUGAUUGUCGCUAAAUGAGUUUUAUAGCCCGGUUGUAAAACUCAUAUGGCCGGCUAUGAAAUCGUUACAGCCGGCCGUAUGAGCGCUCAUAUAGCCGGCCUUAAGCCGUACGCCCGGCUGUAUGAGCUCACAUAGCCGGCUAUCACCCAUACUGGGGGUAGUAUGAGGGCUCAUAAGGCCGGCCGUAUGCCAUACAUCCGGCAGUAUGAGGGCGCAUAUAGCCGGCAAUAUGCCAUACUGCCGGCAGUAUAACACCAUACAGCAGGCCAUAUUCUAGGUGGGGGUAGCCACCCCGGCCCAAUCCUAAAAAACUUCCCCUAAAAAAUGACGGCCCAAAAAAUAAAAAUGAAAAACAAAAAGUGGCUGCUGCCUAACUAGUUUAACACGAAACAAUGCGACCGGGCUUUUCUGCACGGUUUGUGGUCCAUGAAGCUAACCUACUAAUUAACCCUUUAAGGGCCGCGCUAGGAAUACGCCCGCGCAUCCCCCUACACAGGGUUAGGAAUGGGAGAACAUGCAAUUUUGUACUAGUUUCAUAGAGCUUCCCGUUGCGUGCAAAUUUAUGGUACAAUCGACUUGAAAUUUUUUCAGAGGUAUCAUGAUAGUUGUGAGAUUGAAGAAAUGGCAGUAGAUUUUGGUCGUGAGUCUGUACUCAAUGACGUCCCUAUAUUUUAAUGGUAAGAAUUAGGAGUGUUUUUAGUUCUUUUUUCUUUUUCAGGGAAAAAAAUAAAAUUUAAAAGAUCACAGUUUUUGGAUUUGGCUAUGCUCGUAAAAUAAAGCUCACACAUCGCAAAACAGUAAGGCUAAUGAUUUUUCCUCAAUAAGACGUUAAUUCAAUGUCACAUUUUAAGUAGGUAGAGAAUAAAUUAGGGGGCUUAUGGACCUUUAAUGAGUCAUGCAUUUCCUUUUCAUGUUUAGAACAAGACUGUGAGAUCCCGGCAGAGAAGAUCAUAAAUUGCUCAUCCUAAAAAUUUAACUGCAAUUUGGGAGACCAUUCGCUAAAUGUAGAAAAUCAUGUAAACUUUUCUUAAAAAAGUGUUACAUUAGUGUACUUAGUAAAAGUUCCAACUGUAGUGUGCAUCUCUCAAACACAACUUUCUUAAGGAACGCGAAUAAUAUUUUCUUUGCCCAAGAACUGCACGAUCAAUUAUUUGCAUGUGUAAAUAUGUGAUUUCCGUGCCAUGAAGCAGGUAAACCAUGUAAGCUAGUUUCUUGACAGAGCACGGAAACCAGAUUCAAGGAAAGCAUGGGCACGGAAACCAGCUUCAGAGAAAUCAUGGUCACCGAAAUAUUUGGUCCAAAAAUCCGUGGGUCUGAUUUCCUUUGAAAAAUUCCACGGAAAUGUAACGUAACAUUUUGACCACGAGUACAGAUAGUGAAACUUGAAAAAAAUAAUCUCUUAGCGGGAUUAUUUAAAAUUUAUGUUGUCAAAUGCGCUGGAAUUCAUCAAUUGACACCUCCUUCUCAUUGAUUUUUACAUAUCUAUUUUUGUUUAUAUAAUUUACAAGAUUUCUUUAAAAAAAUUGAUGAACUUAUGCUACAAGAAA